GAAGUGAAAACCAGAGUACCAGAGAGAGAAAGAAACGAGGAGUUGUUGUUGAUUCAGUAGAGAGAGAGAUAGAGAGAGAGAGAGAGAGAGAGAAAAAUCGAAGAAGAACGACCUAGCUCGCAGAAAAAGACAGCACGAAUUCGAACUCCAAAGCACUCUCUCUCUAUCUCUCUCUCUCUCUAUAUAUGAGAGAAAUUAGAGAAAGAAAACAAGGCAAAGAAGCUGCAGGCCAAGAAGAAUAAGAUGAAAGUAACUCCCUUUCUUCUUCCUCCAAGCCCACUCUCUGUAUAGUGUUGGAAUGUGUCGGAGAGCUUUGUGUUUGGGCAAUUAUGUGUUUAGGUGGAUGGUAGUGACACGAAGAAAAAGAAGAAGGGUGCAAGUGGAUUCCAAGUUGGGAAGAGAAAGGUGAAGACCAAGUUGACAGCAUUGGCAAAAGCAAAGGCUGCCCAAGCGAUGGAGCUUGACAAAUGAGGUUCUACUUUGAGUCACUGAGGCAUUAUCGAACUUUAGGAUAUGUAACUUUGAAGGAAAAGAAUCCAAGAUUGAGAUACAAUCAUAUGGCUGGAAUCUCUUUACCAUGGAAAGGGGGGAGCGUUGUCGUUCUCAUUCUAUGUAAGGAUUUAUUUAUUUAUUCUGUAAAUCUAAUUUAUGAUGGUUAUAUUAUUAGUAAACUAAAUAUGAAAAUGAUCUUGAAGUUUCAUUUUCGAUAUACAUUAAUGGUAUAUCCAAAUAGUAAAUUGGGAAUAUUUGGUUCCCCAACAUUCCUAGGCAUCUCAUACAAAGGUAUGAAAUGUUGAUUCCUGAUAUUACUAAUGCAAUUUGGACCUUUAUUCAUUUA